AUAAAAUACAGUUUCGAGAAAAAAAUGAUCUCUGUUAACCAAUUAAGUACUGAGCUGAUAGCCGAUUCUCAUAUUAUACUAGAAUACUGUCUCUCCUCUGUUACAGACACGGGUCGAUCAUUAUAUCUCACUCAUUACAAACAGGUUGAAAGCUUUCAGGGCCAAGUAAGUGAUUAGUGAAAUUCUCUAUAAAAAAUAUGAAAUACGAGUUUAUGAAAUAUCUGUUGUCUCUUUGUUAAAUUUGUUUGUCUAUCUAAUAACGUAAUCUAUCAUUAUCUAUCAUCCUAAAAUAUCCCUGUCUGUUAAUGAACUGUUGUCCGUUAACUAGAACUCAUUGUUUAGUGAAUAAAUCUUAGUUAGAAUUAUGCCAUUAUACAUGAUAACAUAGUACACUAAGUACACGUACUCAUUAAUGCAAAUUUCUAUUCAUGAUUCUAAUGCCUAAAGGAAUCAAGACGUGGUAGUUUGAAUAUUUCAGGAAAUGCAAUUAUUUCGGGGGAUUUUCACACCCAAUAUUCUCAGGUUUAUAGAGGGCAGCGUUCAUCCCUGUUCUGGGGUGAUGGAGGGUCAUACCCUGUUUUGUAAAAGUUUAUCUAAUAAAGUGACCACUUAAUACGUUAUUCAGAAAUGACAUGCAGUAUUACAUCUACGCCACUAGAUGUCAGAGUUUCAACCAUGUAGGGACAAUUUUAACCUCUUUAGGACUUCAUCUUACACGUUUUUAAUCAUCUCAUUUCCUUGUAGACCCUAGGCCAAAAAAAUAAUUUUCUAUUUAUUUAGCUUUGGCACGUCUCCACAUCCCCACAGAAAGAAACUGUGUGGGUCAUUCCAUUUUCGAAUAGGUUCCUUAAACAACAAAGUGUUCUGAUGGUUGAGCCCAUCAUUGGUACCUAAGGGGUCAAAGUAAUUUAUUACGUGAUAAACUAUUUUAUUUUAUUACAGUCAUAUAAUGUAGCGUUACUUACCUUAACCGGGGGCCGGUCGCGGUCCUCUCUUCAAGCCGCGCGCGGUCCUGCGGCUGCACGAGCCGCGCGCGGCUCAUCCAACUGCUUUGGAUGGAAGGCGGGCAGUGACCGCGUGAGGCGGUCACGUGUCUCGCCUGAAACUAAGAGCGCGCCGCGAGUCUCGGGCGCGCUCUUAAAGAGACAGUGGGAGCCUAAUUGCUAAAAGGCUCCCAUUGGCUCCUGUCAUACCACACUCCCUGUACAAUUACCUAUAGGGGGUGUGGAAGUGACAGGAGCCAAUCACUUUCGUUUUAAAGCUAUUUAAACUUACCUUUUUCCCUUAGCUCGUUGCCCUAUCGUGGUUUCUGUCUCAGUUCCCUUUAGCGCUUGUGGUGUUCAGUUGUGUUUUCUCGUAUUGACUUUGGCUUCGUAUUCUGACUUCGUUUUCGCUUUAUCCUUCUCUGUACUGUUUGCCGGCUUGCUGUUUUCCGUGUGCCCUUGACCUCGGUUUGUUCCUGGCUCUGUCUCCUCUCAUAUACGUCGAGUCCGGCCAUUCUAAGGUCCGGUAGACGUAUCUCUCCUCUGUAUUUGCCUCUGUUUUGCUGGAUCCUGCGUGUAGGGGUAUAUUCACGUUACAUUACGAUAGGGCCAUGGACCCCGCAGAUUUAGCUCAACAGAUGGCGUCCCAUGAGGCAAGAUUUGUAGAGCAGGAUCACCGUAUGGAUCAGAUAGCUCAGGCUCUCCAGACGCUCCUAGCUAGAACCGUUCCAGCAACCACACCUAACCCUCCUAUGCCCCUUCUCCCUGAAGUAUCUACUUUGCCUAAUACUUCGGCCCAUUUAACACCUCCUCCUAGGUAUGGAGGGGACUCUAAGACUUGCAGAGGGUUUAUUAAUCAAAUUGAAUUCCACUUCGAAAUGUAUCCACGUUCAUUUCCCACAGAGGUCUAAGGUUGGGUUCUUUAUGCACCAACUUACCGAUAAGGCACUUGAGUGGGCAAAUCCUAUUUGGGAAGCUAAUGGACCUAUGGUACAUGAUUUCAACAGUUUUCUUACGGCUUUUCGUAGAACUUUUGACACAAUGAAAAUGUCAAAGAAUGCCGCGAGAGCAUUAAUGAGAAUUAAACAGGGUUCUAGGUCUGUGGCUGAUUAUGCUAUUCAGUUUCGCACUCUUGCUUCGCAGGUAGAUUGGACCAACAAUGGAUUAACUACUGCCUUUAUGGAAGGUUUGUCUGAUACGAUAUUGGAUGAGGUAGCAGCUAAGGAGCUUCCUAUUGCCUUAGAGGACCUUAUCGAUUACCUCAUUGAUAUAGAUAAUAGAAUUCGUGACAGGCUCUAUACCAAGAACAGGAAUAGACGUUUUGUUACACCCAUUAACCCCAGAGUUAAUAUACCAGAGAGUGUUAAAGUGUCUGAGGAGGAACCUAUGCAAGUAGGGGUUGCCAAACUCUCUGAUACUGAGAAAUUACAUAGGAGAAGGGAGGGACUCUGCCUAUACUGUGGUAGGAGAGACCAUAUGGUAAAGGAAUGUCCUUUACUCCCGGAAAACUCUCGCACCUAAGACCUUAUAGGGGACUGGCCUUGGGUGUGAUAUCUAAAUUGCCUCCUAACCGCUUGCUUCUCCCGGUUUCUUUAUAUAUGGGAGAGAUUUGUAUAGUUGACAACAUAUAUGCUCUGGUUGACUCUGGGGCAGCUGAAAAUUUUAUAGACUCUGGCUUUAUAAAGAGAAAUAACAUUCCCAUCAGAGAGAAGGAGAUACCCUUGGCCGUUGAGGCCAUAGAUGGUAGACCAUUAAGUUCUCCAGUUGUUACUCAUGAGACUGUACCAUUACACAUGUACACAGGGGUUUUACACUAUGAAACCAUUCGAUUCCAGGUCAUCAUCUCUCCCUCUUCACAGUUAGUAUUAGGGUAUCCAUGGUUACGUGCUCACAAUCCCAUUUUUGACUGGGAGACAGGGCAAAUAAAAUCAUGGAGUGAGGCCUGCCACGAGUCUUGUACGUUGGAAGUCACACCCAUAUGAUCUGCCAUAUGAACUAGUGCCAGUGCUGCACACAGUGUGUGUUUACAUUAAAAAGCCUGCAGGGACAAACUAUAGAAACCAGAACAACUUUAUUAAGCUGCAGUGGUUCUGGGGACUAUAGUGUCCAUUUAUUGUGAGGUACCUACCAGUCCUCCUUUGUCUACGGUUAUACCCCCUCAGUAUUUAUCUCUAAAGACUGUUUUCGAUAAAAGGGAGGCUGAGAAAUUACCGCCUCACAGACCCUAUGAUUGCGCUAUUGACUUGUUGCCUGGCACUAUACCUCCAAAGGGCAGGGUGUACCCCUUAUCGGUUCAAGAAAACCGUGUCAUGGAGGAGUAUAUAAAGGAAUCACUAGAAAAGGGGUUUAUUAGGAGAUCCUCUUCUCCAGCUGGAGCAGGGUUCUUCUUUGUAUCGAAGAAAGAAGGUGAUUUAAGACCGUGUAUAGAUUAUAGAGGUCUAAACAAAAUCACUAUCAAAAAUGCAUACCCUAUACCUUUAAUUACAGAAUUAUUUGACAGGCUGAAACAUGCCACUGUGUUCACUAAAUUAGACCUUAGGAGUGCAUACAAUUUGAUACGUAUAAAGGAAAAUCACGAAUGGAAGACUGCAUUCAACACUAGAUCCGGUCAUUACGAAUAUACUGUUAUGCCAUUUGGGCUUUGCAAUGCCCCAGCAGUAUUCCAAGAAUUUAUUAAUGAUGUCUUAAGAGAUUUUAUUCACACAUUUGUUAUCGUAUACUUGGACGACAUUUUAAUAUAUUCUACAGACAUACACACUCAUCACAGACAUGUUACGACAGUUUUGAAGACCCUUCUUGCUAAUGGUCUUUAUUGCAAGCUAGAAAAAUGUCUGUUUGACCAAACCGAAGUCCAGUUCUUGGGGUAUUUGAUUUCCGCUAAAGGUUUUCGUAUGGAUCCCCAGAAGCUUGCUGCUGUAAUAGAAUGGCCUCUACCGCAAGGUCUGAAAGCUAUUCAGCGUUUUCUUGGGUUCUCCAAUUAUUAUAGACGUUUUAUCAAAGGUUUCUCGUCCAUUGUAGCACCUAUUACCCGUAUGACUAAAAAGGAUGGCAAUACUCGUGUUUGGUCUACCGAGGCACUUCAGGCUUUUGAAUUUCUUAAAACUACGUUCGCCUCUGCACCUAUUUUACAGCAUCCUGUCCCCUCACUGCCCUAUAUUCUUGAAGUUGAUGCUUCGGAUAUUGGGGUAGGUGCUGUCUUAUCCCAAAGAGAGUCGCCUGAAAAGCCAUUGCAUCCAUGCGGCUUCUUUUCUAAACAAAUGUCCAAAGCAGAGAAAAAUUAUGAUGUGGGUAAUCGCGAACUCCUUGCUAUUAUUUUAGCACUUAAAGAGUGGAGACAUUUGUUAGAAGGAACUAAGGAUCCUAUCCUCAUUUUUACGGAUCACAAGAACCUAUCCUACCUUAGCGAAGCCAAAAGAUUGUCUUCCAGGCAGGCUAGGUGGUCACUAUUUUUGUCCCGUUUCAAUUUUAUUAUCACCUAUAGGCCAGGUGAUCGCAACACUAAAGCAGACGCUCUGUCCAGACAGUUCGAAACUACUGACAAACAGGAGAUUGAUGUUACUCCUGUCAUUCCCCCAGACAGGAUAAUAGCUACUACUAUUUUGUCUAUUUCCUCGUCCCUCUUGCAGGCCAUACAAGCGAAACAAAGCAUGGCACCUAGCGAGAGGCCUAAUGAUAAACUGUUCGUUGAUGUUCCUGAGAGACGGGAUAUUAUGUCAUUAUAUCAUGAUACUAAGACUGCUGGACAUCCUGGUAUUUCCAAAACGGUGUCAGCUGUUUCUCGGUAUUUUUGGUGGGAUUCCUUACGAAAGGAUGUCACUGACUAUAUAAGUGCUUGUACUACUUGUGCCUGUAUGAAAUCCUCCCGUAGAGUUCCUUGUGGGCUGUUGCAUCCGUUACCCGUUCCCGAGAGACCUUGGUCUAACCUGUCCAUGGAUUUUAUUGUUGAAUUACCCCCUUCAAAUGGUAACACAGUAAUCCUGAUGAUAGUGGAUCGGUUCUCCAAAAUGGCUCACUUCGUGUCUCUUCACAAGUUGCCCACAUCCAAGGAACUGGCUCAUAUCUUCGCUAGAGAAGUAUUUAGAUUACAUGGGAUUCCCGUAUCUAUUGUAUCCGAUAGGGGUAGCCAAUUUAUUUCCAGGUUCUGGAGGGCCUUUUGUUCAGAAAUGGGUAUUUCUCUCUCAUUUUCUUCCGCUUAUCAUCCCCAGUCUAAUGGGGCUGCUGAACGUGCCAACCAGUCUCUGGAGCAAUACCUCCGUUGUUUUGUGUCUCACCAUCAGGACAAUUGGUCUGACCUGCUUCCUUGGGCUGAAUUUGCUCGGAAUAACGCCACUCAUGAUUCUUCCGGCAAGACCCCUUUUUACGUUGUCUAUGGCCAGCAUCCCGUUGUUCUUCCGGCUGCAUUCUCCUCACAGGGCAUGCCAGUUCUGGAUGAGCAUUUGGCUGGUUUGCGUAAUACUUGGGAGCAGGUUCAGCGUUCUUUGGUGGACUCUGCUACUCGCCAGAAGGCUCAGGCUGACAAGCAUCGCAGAGCAGCUCCGUCCUAUGUUGUGGGGGACAGGGUUUUGCUUUCCACGCGGAAUAUUCGUCUCCGGGUGCCUUCUAUGAAAUUGGCUCCCCGCUUCAUUGGACCUUAUCGUAUUAUACAUAAGGUUAAUCCUGUUUCUUAUGCCUUAGGCCUGCCUAAGAAUCUACGUAUUCCUAAUGUUUUUCACACCUCAUUGUUGAAACCUUUCGUACGCAACCGCUAUACCCGGCAUACUCCUCCUCCCCCUCCUAUCUCGGUGGAGGGUCAUGAGGAGUUUGAAGUGUCUGCUGUUCUUGACUCUCGUUUCCUUAGGGGUCGACUUCAGUACUUGGUACAUUGGAAGGGUUAUGGGCCUGAGGAGCACAGUUGGAUUUCGGCUGAUGCUGUCCAUGCUCCCCGUCUUGUGCGCUCUUUCCAUUCUCGUUUUCCUGCCAGGCCUGGUCCUACCCGCCCGGGGGCGUGUCCUCAGGGGGGGUACUGUAGCGUUACUUACCUUAACCGGGGGCCGGUCGCGGUCCUCUCUUCAAGCCGCGCGCGGUCCUGCGGCUGCACGAGCCGCGCGCGGCUCAUCCGACUGCUUUGGAUGGAAGGCGGGCAGUGACCGCGUGAAGCGGCCACGUGUCCUGCCUGAAACUAAGAGCGCGCCGCGAGUCUCGGGCGCGCUCUUAAAGAGACAGUGGGAGCCUAAUUGCCAAAAGGCUCCCAUUGGCUCCUGUCAUACCACCCUCCCUAUACAAUUACCUAUAGGGGGUGUGGAAGUGACAGGAGCCAAUCACUUUCGUUUAAAAGCUAUUUAAACUUACCUUUUUCCCUUAGCUCGUUGCCCUAUCGUGGUUUCUGUCUCAGUUCCCUUUAGCGCUUGUGGUGUUCAGUUGUGUUUUCUCGUAUUGACUUUGGCUUCGUAUUCUGACUUCGUUUUCGCUUUAUCCUUCUCUGUACUGUUUGCCAGCUUGCUGUUUUCCGUGUACCAGACCCCGGCUUGUCCUAGUUUACGCUGUCUCUCUGUGCCCUUGACCUCGGUUUGUUCCUGGCUCUGUCUCCUCUCAUAUACGUCGAGUCCGGCCAUUCUAAGGUCCGGUAGACGUAUCUUUCCUCUGUAUUUGCCUCUGUUUAGCUGGAUCCUGCGUGUAGGGGUAUAUUCUCGUUACAUAUAAUGACAUAUGUAAUGUAUUUCUUACAAUUCAUUAUAGUUGUAUAAUUUGUAAUGCUUUGGGCACCAAUGACCAUGGCCAUGCACCACUUUUGUUAGGUCCAAACCAUUAUAUACCUGGAACACUCCAAAAGACUUGGCGAUUUGGAGAUGAUCGGAUCCAGUCACCUAGCCAUCACUAUUUAGCCCUUGUCAGAGUCACUCAGAUCUUUUCCCUUGCCCAUUUUUCUGCAUCCAGCAAGUGAAAUUCAAGAACUGACAGUUCAUAUGCUUCCUCAUAUAUCUCACCCCUUGACAGGUGCCAUUGUGACAAUAUAAUAAUGUUAUUCACUUCACAUGUCAGUAGUUUUAAUGUUCUGGCUGAUCAGUGUAUAAAGCAAAAUAAUUAAAUUAAAUUAAACUAUAAUAGUUUUGUUAUAUGUGAGUAAUCCCAAAUUUGAAGAGUUUUUCUAUGAACACUAAAAGUUGAAAUGUGGAUAUAAGCGUUAUGAGAGGGUCUGCAUUAUAGAGACAUUCAGUAAGUAGAUCUAUAGCGAUAGGAGAAGAAUAAAUCCCAGAUUAUUAGUUUGAAAGAAUGAAAUAGUGGAGCAGAAUUCUAUCUGGGAAGUUUGUGUUUUCUUUCAGCCAGAAUAUAAUUAGAAUUCAGAUCAUGAUUUGUGUUCAGAAUACUCACAUAGGAACAUUAUGUCACCUCUCCCUUGCUACUUAAUGCCGUUUUCCUGGAGCAAUAUAAAUUAAAUAAGAUGAAAACACAAAUAAAUUAAUCAGUCGAAAGAUUCACUAUGCCAGGGACUGUGGACAACUGAAAUUUAAAGGAACACUAUAGGGUCAGGAACAUGUAUUCCUAACCUUAUAGUGUUAAAACAACUAUCUAGCCCCCGUCUCUGCCUGUGUCCUCCUAAAAUAAGCAAAAGCUUACUUUUAUUCCAGUCUGCAGCUGCUGGCUCUGCCCUUGAUCUGCUUGCUAGGCUGACAUCAUCAGAAGUGAUUCUCGGAGCUAAUCACAAUGCUUUCCCAUAUGAUUGGCUGAUACUGCAAAGGAGGCAGAUCAGGGGCAGAGCCAGCACAAGCCAAACAAAGCUCUAGCCAAUCAGCAUCUCCUCAUAGAGAUGCAUUGACUCAAUCAGGACUGCCCCAGGAAGCACCUCUAGCAGCCAUCUGAGCAGUGGCUAGUGUAGUUAUCUCUAAGCUGUAAUGUAAACACUGCAUUUUCUCUGAAAAGACAGUGUUUACUGCAAAAAACCUAAAGGGAAUGAUUCUAUUCACCAGAAUGAAUGCAAUAAGCUGCAAUUGUUCUGGUGACCCAUGUAAAGGGAAAUUAAAAAUGUUAGUCCAAAAUAGAUGACCUGGUGAAUUGCACUAGUAAAGUCCAAAAUGAGCAAUCCCCUUUUUCAUUCAAUUUACAAAUGAACAAGUUGCUCUUUAGUUCUGGCAAUUUACUAUAAAGUUUUGUUAUUAAAUAAAUAACAUGUUUUGUUUAUUUUUACAGUGUUCAGGUUCCACAGAAAAAAACAGGAGUCAAACAAAAUUAAAGAUUACCAAUCGACUGCUCUCUUCAUUAGUAUCGUUUCCAGUCUUUCAAUUCAGCACGAAUAAGGACAACCAACUACCACUCCCAUCACUCCUCCCUUCAUUCAUACCAUAUUCAAAGGUGGAAUCCCUCUCCGUUUCUAUGGUGAAAUGGAUUGCCUUGUCCAGGGAUUAAUAAAUGAGAAAGGUUACAAUGAGAAUUCACAUAUUAUUUCAUUUAGUUAAUUUUCUGUUUUUUCUGGUAUUAUAAUAAUAAAACUGUUUUCUUAUUUCAAA